AGAUUCAAAAGCAAAUUUCAUCUUUGAUAUUAAUUGAAUUUCUUUAACUUCCAAAAGUCAAUAUUUAUGAUAAAUUGCAACGUAGCCUGUUUUCAAAACAUCUGAAGUCCUGGCAAGUUCUGCCCAAGAUAUUAUAUUCACUUAAUUUUACUGCGAAAGUAGUCAUGCAUUUUCAGUGGAUGGAGGGUAAAUACAGCAGAUCUCCUUGGUCUUACUUGGACUUUUUAGAUUUUACUUCAAGCUGUUGUUAAACUAACAGGAUGUGAAUGAGAAAUUUCAGAAACAGAUUUCAGGUUUUGUGCAGUAACGUUUGCUUCAUUCUUCCUCCGUACAUUCAAGUUGCAAUUUAUAAUUUUGAUUUCUUGAGAAUUUGCAUAUUUGCCUUUAGGAACAUCAUAAAAGAUCAAUACCUAAAGACACCUGGAACCUUUUAUUAGACUUCAGCUGUAUGAUUGCUGAUGACAUGUCCAAUUAUGAUGAAGAAGGAGCAUGGCCCGUGCUUAUUGAUGACUUUGUGGAAUUUGCACGACCGCAAAUCACUGGGACAAAAAGUACAACAGUGUAGCAUUUGGGAAGCUUUGUCGCAAAAUGUACAUGGUGUGUACAGAAUGAAAAAUACAGCAAAUAAUGCACAGUCAUUUCACAAUUAGUUAAUAAAAUUCAGAUCAAUGGAUUGAAGUGAAGAUCAAUCCUUUUUAUUCUAUCCAGAGGGUUGUUAACACCAAAAAGGACUUUUCUUCAAUCAUAUCGUAUUCAUUUAAUGGUGGUUUGGGCUUCUGUCUUAGUCAGGACCUCUUUAUGUAAUUUCAUCAACACUGAGUGAGAGUUCCGUCUGUAUAUUAUUUGGAAUCCCAUUUGGAGGACUUUUCUGAAAGGAUAAUUUUAUAGUGCUUUUUGACAUCAAGCACAUGCUGCCUUCAGUUAGGAGCUGAACAGCAUUCUUGGACUCCGGAAAUCUGUGUUUGAAAUGGAAACCUUGAUUUGAUCUAAAUACUUUUUAAAUUAUGUAAACAGGCAGUUAGACCAUCACAGAAUCUUACUUUAGCUAAUAUUUCAGCUGUUUCUUGUUCUAUGGCAGAUUACUUGACAUAAAGUCUUACUAUUCUAUGAAGACUGGAUCAUACCAUGCCUAUGCACGAAAUUCAGUCCUGCUCCAUAAUGAAAGUGGUGAUAUUGAAUGGUGAAAUCCUACAAUUGAGAUCUGUGGUAUUUACUGUUUGUUUUUCUUUUUGACAAGAAUAAAGUUUCCCCACCCAAUCACCAUCUGAUAUUAGCAUAUUGCUAAACAUAUUUAGGUCUGGUAUAAUACAAGAGGCACCUUGUCACCAUUCUGAUCCUGGAUUUUGCAUCUUAGCCUUGGAUAUUUGCAAUAUGCAGCACUCUGGAAGGUAUUUCAGGUUUCCUUUCUAACUGCAGUGUGCUGUAGCUAAGAGAACUGAAUUGGGUUUUAUGCUGUUGACUCAGAGUAACUGAAAUUCCUUCACGUGUUCAACUCGGGCAGGUCAUGGCCAUGCUUAACAUAAAUCAGACCUUUUUGUUAAUAUAUCCAAGAAAAUUCAUGGUAAGUGGACUAGAAAUACCUCUGUCUUUUCAUUGGAGUUUAUAGUCAUUCAUUUUGUUGAGAUUAAAAUGGUCUGUCCUCUAAAGAAAGUACUAUUUUACACCUGUUUUGAUCCUUUACCCUGGCUGAUAAUUCAUUUGUAUGCAAAACUGAAUGUUUAAGUUGACUUGGCAAAAGAUUUGAACAUUAUUUAUGAGAGAUGAAUUUUGACACUUCUAUGCUUAGCAGUUUUACUUGUAAUUUCCCUAAUAACUUUUUUCUCAUAGACUGCCAUGUCUAUUGAUCAUUCCCUGUAUACAUAUGAAUAAGUUUGUAGAGGAUAAUGAAGUUUCAGAAACUAAUUUCUCAGGUCAGUGUUCAAUUCAGUUUUAAGGUGAGCCUUUUUUUUUUAAACAUAGAGACAGGAGUUUAAAAUAUGCAGAAAAUCAUUUAAGUAGCUUUCACAAUCUUAUUCUUACUGUAAAUGACUCCCAUGUUGGUCUAAUGAUGCAUUUUUCAGGUACAGGUGGAAGAGACUGUAGUCAUUAGGAUUUUUUAUAUAUAUAUUACAUAUCCUUGAUCUGGAUUUCAUACUCUGGUCUUCAGUGAAAACAGCCUGUAUGUUAUACCCUGUGCUAAUUUCAAAUGCAUUUUAAAAUUGUUUAAUAAACUUUAAUUUAUAGGUGUUUUUAUGUUAUACUGCCAUCUAAUGCAGUUGACUUUCAAUCAGUUUUCACUCACCUGUGCUUUGAAUGCUGAAACUGUUACAUGGUUCCUUUCAUUUAUUUGUGAUGUACAGCCCAUGCAGAGGCAUUUCAAUUAAGUUCCACAGUUUGUUACAUGCCCCAGUGAUAUUUUGACAUCAACCAUUUUAAUAAUUCAAGUGAAACUUGUUAAUCAAUAUUGAUGAAGCAAAUACACCUAAAGAGUUAAACAAGCCUGUUCAUCUUGCUUAGAACACUGGAAUUCAAAAUGCAGAUCAUAUUUGAGCUGUAUGCUGUUUUUGUCAAAAGUUAAUGGCCUGAUAAUUUGAGCUUUGCCACAGUUUUGAAACAAAGUUUCUUGCAUACUUUAAUUCAAUAACUUUGAAAUGUUUAAAUUACCCAAUUACGUUUCUGUCCAAUUCUAUGAUGUCAUAAAAAUUCAAAGACAUUUAUUGAGUAAUACAGCACGGAAACAGACCCUUCAGUCCAACUCGUCUAUGCCAACUGUUCAAAUGAUCAGAGAAAGCUGACCAUUGUAGAAAAUCUACUUUCUAAUUUUAAUUUGGAAAUUAUACUUGGUUUUGUGUUGAAGAUGCAUGGUACAUUUUAAAGUGCAGUUCUACUGUUUAUAUUUUGGUAACACUAAGUUGCAGACUGAGUCAACCCUAAUUAAAGAAAAAUGGAAAAUACAGCUUUGUGCAAAUUUUAUCUAAUUUGCAUUUUAUACUGUGCAAACAUGAUGUACUUGAGUACUGUAUGAACUAUGGAGUCAGUUAGAACUCCACUGUCAUUUGCACAUGAGAUUAGAAAAUUCCUAAGAAGGCUUAGCUGUUAAAAUGAGGUUACAUGAACAUUAUAAACAAAAUAAAUUUAAAAGCUAAGGUUAAGCAAUGAUGUUUGGAUAUGGCUUGAAUUUAGGUACUUCUGAUGCCAAUAUAGUCUUUUAAAUCAAGAUAUUAAAGAUAAAUCUAUUUAAAAUGCUAGAUUUUGAUUUGUUGCUCACCAAUGCAAUCUCAUUGCCUGCUUCUGUAGAAAUUCAGUUGACUAAUGCAGUAAAUGAUUAUAUAAAACAUGCAAGAAUUCAAUGCACAAAUCUUCUUACGGACUGAACAGAACUGGAAAUGGACCCUACCAGGUCUGUUAAUGUCUGUACAUUAUUUCUGUUGUGUCCUUUUUAUAUUCGUCUUGAAGCUUCUUCCCUUUGUUUUCAUAAAAUCACAAUUGCUGUGAAAGAUUUCUCCUUCACAAAGCCAUUUAUUAAGCAAGUUUCCAAUGAGAAUGCAUUUCAGUUGGACAUGCAAACCUUUAAUGGAUUGUGAGCAUUUGUGUCUAAGCACACACAGCUGGAAUUUCAUCAUGAUGAAAUCUUCAACCCUCUUGAAUAACCAAAUGUGUAUGAAGGAGGAAUGAGUUUUUUUUAAAUUUUGUGUUAACUUGAAAACACAUCAACAUGUACAGAGAGGAGCAAGCAGGAUGGCGAAUUAUUGGUGAGUAACUAAUCGUGCAGUUUUGAGCAGGAUUUAAGUUCCACCUUCAAGGUGACGUUGCUUUCCACAGGAAUGGCCUGAACAUUACCUUGCUAUAUCUUUGGAUUAUUCUCCAGCUUUCAAAUCUAAUGGAAAUUUUUGUUGACUGAAUGUUCUCACUUGUCCCUGUGGGAGAAUUAUCUGUGUUAUUGAGUGGUAGGAAUGUAUUUCAAAUGAGAAAGGUACUUAUCCAUAUGUUUGUGCAUGCCAGGCCUGUUUGAUGUAGAAAAUGCACUUACUCUUUUUUGGUGUGUUUUAAGAAAAACAUCAAAAUAUUUGGAUUUGAUCCUUGGAAAUAUUUAUAGACUUUUUUUUAAAAAAAAAAAGCUGCAUUACUGUUCUUUUUAAAAUGAUGAUCUUGGGAAGUCUGAUAUCCAAUUAGUAGCCUUUGUAUUUUUACUUGGUUUACUCAUCAUUUUGUUCUUCCAUGCCGCAGCAGUUUCUAACUAGGGGUAGACAGAGACCUACUUUUAAAGCUUUUGUCAAUUUUUAAAACUUGCCAUUACUUUGUUAACUCAGCAUAACAGUUUUCUUUUCAUGAAGAACAUAACAUACUUGCUACAGUUAUACUUAGUGACAAAAUGCAAGCCCCAAAGUGCUCAUUAAUUAGAAAUGUUUUCAUGGAAAUUAGUACUGUUUCUGUAUUCAUGAACAAUGCUGGUGUAACUAACUACUGCACUGAGCUAUUCAUAGUGAUUUCAGAUUGCAUCAAAGCUGUUCACUGAUGGAUUUUGUACUACACAGACACAAACUCUGAAUGUCCCUUCCAGAAGCUUGAACCUUCUUAUGUUUUCUACUGCAGUGUAAUGCAUUUUGUCUGCACAUUUUUUGUACAUUUAAACAAAAGCGUGAUUGCAGUUAUGGCAUGAUGCACAUUUUAAUAUCAAAGCUGACUUCAAGUAAUACAACUACCAUAGUUAUUUAAGGUGCUUAGUCACUUGAAGAGAUGAGUGGUUUCUUUAAAAUUGCUAUGGAAUUAUAAACAACACUUUAAGGAAUGUUAAUCAUAAAAAAAGGGGAAGUGGGGCAUUCAGAAUGAUAAACUUGCAAUUCCUUAUUAAAAUUUCCUUAAUGAAUGCUCAAACUUUCUUUAAACAGCUACAUGAACAUGUAAAGCAGAGAUCUUGUUUUAAAGGACAAUAUAAUCACAUGUCUGUUGACCCAAUACAGAAUCAUCUGCAAUUUUUACGUAGUAUGCCAAAACCAUGGUCUUUCUUCGCUUGGCAUAGAAUAAACCAACAUGUUUUGGUGUAUGUUUGGCCACAUCCUUGAAUAUGACUUGAAAAGGGUACAUCUGUUCCUUUUGUGGUAUUUUAAGGAUAAUGGAGAAUUGAGCAUUUGUUCAAACUGAACAAUUGUUAACUGUGAAGUCUUCAUCCUCUGGUAUGGGACAGGGAAACAGUAUUGUAAUUCAGGCCUAAUAUAGUGCUUUGUACGUAUUGCAAUUCUGUACACUUGUAGGUAGUACAUUUUAGAGUAUUGAAAGCUUAUUUAGGAAGAGCUUGUUUAAAUGGAUGUCUUGUAAAUUAUGUAAAAUUUUUAUCUCAUUAUGGGCAAAUGUAUUGUAAAUUGACACAAUGAAAAUCUACAGGGUCCACUGAGAAAUGCCAAUAAAAGGGUUGUAAAAAUAUCAAUUUAUAAGAAUCUCAGUGCCUGUUUGCUAAGCAUUGAAUAAAUCAAGAAACAUUCUGAAACUGAGGUGUAAUAAAUCCUGUGGAUCAAAAGUCAGACACUUGUGUUAAAUGUCCAAAAUAAAUAUGUGGGUAACUGCCUUUUUUCAAGA